rnacentral:rRNA from 1 species
GAUGAACGCUGGCGGCGUGCCUAACACAUGCAAGUCGAACGGAGAUUAGACGCUGAUGAGGCUUCGGCGGAUUCUUGUUUAAUCUUAGUGGCGGACGGGUGAGUAACGCGUGGGCAACCUGCCUCGUACUGGGGGAUAGCAGUUGGAAACGACUGAUAAUACCGCAUAAGCGCACAGUAUCGCAUGAUACAGUGUGAAAAACUCCGGUGGUACGAGAUGGGCCCGCGUCAGAUUAGCUAGUUGGUAAGGUAACGGCUUACCAAGGCGACGAUCUGUAGCCGGACUGAGAGGUCGGACGGCCACAUUGGGACUGAGACACGGCCCAAACUCC